rnacentral:tRNA from 1 species
GCGGAUAUGCCGGAGUGGUCAAACGGGGCAGACUCAAGAUCUGCUGGCUUAUGCCUACAGAGGUUCGAACCCUCUUAUCCGCA